UGUUUCAGGCAGAAGUUUCCGCCCCAGGCGGAAAAAGCUGUGUUUCAGGCGGAAAUCGCUGCAGAGUAUUUAAAGGGUCACGUUUUCUGUUUUUCAUAACAUGUCACCUUGUUUUUGUCCUGAUUUUAUGUAUUCUACUAGUCCUGAUAUUUCCCAUUCUGGUAUCGAGUUUUUGCCGCCGGUUACGACUGUGCCUUUUAGUUCUGUUGGUUUCGGACCCAGCUCGAAAUUUCCAUUUGCCACUAGUCCUGUACAAUAUCGAUAAAGGUUAGGUCACGAUAUGUUAGAGACUCGUGACCGUCCAAUUUAAAUAAAAAAGACGGUCACGAAUUGUUUGACAUCACGACUGUAUGCAAUCUGUGUCUGAAUCAAAAUUAUAUUGUGUUAUUGUUUUAGCCUUCCUUAAUCUUGAUGGAAAGAUGUUUAACUAGAAAGGAUUGAUUAAAUAUUACAUUUAUGAUACUAGUAUAUAUAUAUUUGCAAACAAGGCUUGCAAAUUAUAUUUAAGACACAAACAUAUAUAAGUGCAGAUAAUAAAUUUU
rnacentral:lncRNA from 1 species